rnacentral:lncRNA from 1 species
GAAGCUCCUAUAUCAUUUCAAACGAACCACUGAUUUUUUUCUUCUUGUGAAAGUGUAUUUUGAGAUAAAUAUAUCACCAUGCCUGACACCAAAUGUGCAUGUUGCCAGGAGAACAAGGAGUGUUCGUGCGUCGGCCCCUGCUGUGAAACAGGAGAAUGCUGCAAGAAUGGAACAUGCUGCGGUGAUUCUUCUAAAUGAGCGAUACUCUGCACCAAGGGGAACUAUGAGUGCUCGAAGGACCUUUUCUGUAGGAUAGAAAGAUUGUAGAUAAAACUCGAGUAAGAUGUCUCAUCUCCCGAUGUGCGCCACUUGAUUUGAUCUGUAUAUUUUAAUAGAUGUUUGAUAUAUUUUGUUGUUGUUUUGUAACAUGUACAUUUAUAUCGUUUAUAAAAAUGUAAAUAUUAAAUAAUUUUCCAUCUAUAGGGAGUUUUAGCAAUUAAUGAAAACGCGUGUCUGUAAUAUUUACCCGUUUGGUAAUAGAACGUAUAGAACAACAUAGGCGGCGGAAGGGGGGGUGACGUGUCCCCCCUUAAUUUGAGGUGGGGGCGAUCCCCCCCUAAAUUUCUUGUUGAUGACUUUUUUUUGCUUGUCACAAAAAUUAUGUUAGUCCCUCCCUGAAAUUUUUGUUUGGUAACUUUUUUAAAAUUUUUUUUUGGGUAUGUCUAUUUUGUUUCCUGCGUCCCCCUAAAAUUUUUGGCUUCCGCCGCCAACGUAGAACACCGAACACCUUACGACUGCUGUACAACCCAGUUGGAAACAAACGGCAUUUUUAUUUUUUUUUUCUUGAUAAUGAUACAACCAUGUAAAUUAUUUUUCAAAAGGUUCAUGAUAACUAUCAGAAUAAAUCAAAAUCUCAAAGAUUUGAAGCUAUCAGUGACUAAUUGGCUAACAAACAGAGCAAAUCGUAUGGUUGUUGUGACGUCACUACAAUUCUUAAUUGAUUUCGCUUUUAUUUUAUGUAACAAGGAGGAGGGAUGAAAUUACCAUUAUAUUUUAUUUAAGUAUUUAUUUGCUGAUUCAGGACUAAAGAAACUAGUUUGUUUUUAUUCAAUACUGUCUUAAAACAUUUUAUUUAAAAAUUCGGGAUUUGAGCUAAUCGUAAGGUGUCCGGUGGCCUUCAUUACAGAAUGCGCCGGAAUAUGAAAGUUCCUAUCUUGUGCAAUAUCUUGACUUAUAGCUCGAUCGGUAUAAUGUUUUAAUGAUAUCAACGAUGUUGAUGAAAUAACGGUUAAAUGGAUUACUUUACAUACAUUAAUUUAAAGCUUUUUCUGUUCAAUUCCAUCAUGUAAUGGUAAUGAAUCGUUCUUACAUUCUUUAAUGCUUUUUGUACCAAUUCAUAAAUAUAUAAAAUCGGACCAUUUUAAACGAUUCGGUAUGAUUAAAUUUUAUUUAAGGAUUUAA